rnacentral:rRNA from 1 species
UCAACUUGAGAGUUUGAUCCUGGCUCAGAACGAACGCUGGCGGCAGGCCUAACACAUGCAAGUCGAACGCCCCGCAAGGGGAGUGGCAGACGGGUGAGUAACACGUGGGAACCUUCCCUAUAGUACGGAAUAGCCCAGGGAAACUUGGAGUAAUACCGUAUACGCCCGAGAGGGGAAAGAUUUAUCGCUAUAGGAUGGGCCCGCGUAGGAUUAGCUAGUUGGUGAGGUAAUGGCUCACCAAGGCGACGAUCCUUAGCUGGUUUGAGAGAACGACCAGCCACACUGGGACUGAGACACGGCCCAGACUCCUACGGGAGGCAGCAGUGGGGAAUAUUGGACAAUGGGCGCAAGCCUGAUCCAGCCAUGCCGCGUG